rnacentral:rRNA from 1 species
ACACCCGUUCCCAUUCCGAACACGAUGGUUAAGCUUCAACACGCUGAUGGUACUGCAUGGGUGACUGUGUGGGAGAGUAAGUCGUUGCCAGGU